AUACCCGAAGAUGCGAGUUCAAAUCCCGCUCGAGCCAACGAAUUUUUCGUUGGCUCGACCGGGAUUUGAACUCGCAUCUAUUAAU